rnacentral:rRNA from 1 species
CCUACGGGGCGCAGCAGUGAGGAAUAUUGGUCAAUGGGCUUACGCCUGAACCAGCCAAGUCGCGUGAGGGAAGACUGCCCUAUGGGUUGUAAACCUCUUUUGUCAGGGAGCAACGCCGGCUACGUGUAGCCGGACUGAGAGUACCUGAAGAAAAAGCAUCGGCUAACUCCGUGCCAGCAGCCGCGGUAAUACGGAGGAUGCGAGCGUUAUCCGGAUUUAUGGGGUUUAAAGGGUGCGUAGGCGGAAUGCCAAGUCAGCGGUAAAAUCGCGGGGCUCAACCUCGCUCCGCCGUUGACACUGGCGUUCUUGAGUGGGCGAGAAGUAUGCGGAAUGCGUGGUGUAGCGGUGAAAUGCAUAGAUAUCACGCAGAACUCCGAUUGCGAAGGCAGCAUACCGGCGCCCAACUGACGCUGAAGCACGAAAGCGUGGGUAUCGAACAGGAUUAGAUACCCCUGUAGUC